rnacentral:lncRNA from 7 species
CCAAAGCUGUAUGCCCUUUGCUAGAGGCUGGAGAUGCAUGAUGUGCUAUGUGCUUUUCUAACUCUUAUAUUCUUCUGUUGGCUGUUACAAAAACAGGAUAUUGGGCUGGUGGACUUUAGCCUUGAACUCUUGUGACCACUCAUAUGUGGGUAUUAUCCUAAAUUGGACAUAACUUAGUGAAGGCUGUGUUGCCAGCAGCGGAAGCCAGAUCUAAAGAAAGGAGACAAGUGCCUUGUUGUAUGGAUGUCAGAUUCCACUGGAAGUCAGCAAGUGAACCCCUGAUCUGGCUGUCUGACAUGAAAAUGAGUGGUGCUGGUGUGACCUGCCUGCAGAACGGUCCCUCUGUUGUCCAGCGGAGUGCACAGCACAGAAGAGAGCCUGUAGGAAACCCCAGCUCUUCACUUCUGCUUAAAUCGACCUACGUAUCAGGAGAAAAGUAUUCCUAAGCAAGAAAAAACCCAGACAUUCACCACUGAGCCUCAGAACGGCUGCUGGAAUAAGAAAAUGCAGAACAGUGAUUUGAACAACAGAACCUCUGAGCUCAGCGACUGGAAUUCCCAAUUACAGACAUACUGCUGUUUCUCCUCCCUCAACACAGAUGUUUAGCUUGAUCACUCCCCCAAGCCCAGUGAGACAAGCUCUGUGAAGGAUGCGGAGCUAUGCAUGCUCCGACAGCUACAUCAAAGGCCGGGCCCAGCCUGCACCUCAGCCACCAGUCUGGAGGAAAUCAGAGACCCUCAUUAAAGUUUCAGAAAAACCUAACUGGUAUGAGGACGGCACUCAAAAAUGUAUUCAGGGGAAAACAAAUAUUGUUUUAAUGCUAUUAAUAAUUGAUGAGUUGCCAGCAGAGAUCCUCAUAGCAUUAAGGGAAUUGAAAAUUAAAGGCACAAAGACACUACUUUAAGAAAACAUCUUGGUAAAUAAUUAAUACGGAGUGGGCCUAUUGGAAUCUGAAGAGUGUAGCUUUUAGUUUAUCUUGUCAAACCUAUGCUUUCUAAUACCAGAGUUUCUUCCAGAAUGAGAGCGUGGUCAUUUUCAUUUCAUAUGGACAAAAGAUCUCAUUGUUUCUGCUGCUUGGCUGAAAUCAUUUACAGGCUUCUGUAUUGGUUGUGUUGAGCUCCUGGCAUCAUCCUAGGGAGCACAGCUAAGCACCCAAAGAUUAUGGCUUCCUGAUAUCAAGAGGGGGAAUCAGAGGGAUAAUUAUUUAGAAAACAUAGAAGAACAUGUUCCUGCAUCUGUCCCAGGGAAACAACUGUUUGUCAGGGUCAGACUGGAUCAGAGGAAGAAGCCCUGCCAAUGCGUGCUUAGCAAAACGAGGUAUAAAUAGCUGUGAGGAGCAUCUUGGGAUGUGUAAGACUCAGGAGCAGCGACUCCUUCAGCUUUUGUGUCUCUAGAGAGAUGUGUUUGCAAUGGUGAGGCCAGUUGUGGGGGCUGCACCAAAUAAAUAAUUCAGUGGCUGGCACUUUCCCCGAGCAUUCUUUCUGAUAGGGAUCUUGAGGACAACAAAUAGAGCAGUCCAGCACUCCACAAAGCACAAGCCCAUCAGAAUGACUAAAGAAAGGCUGAUCAUAAAACGUAUUAAAGGAAAUAAAUACUGAAUUUCUGCAUCUCCUUCCAAAGCAGCUCCCUACCACAACAGCGUGCAGAGCUGUGAGAGCACAGUUCAGAGACGUGGCUGAAGAGUUCAACUGAUGCACAUUUCCUGGCAUGGAGAGAUAACGUAGAUUCAAAACAAAACAGCGAGUGCUGUGUUAGCUAGCAGAGCCUCUGCUGUCUCUGAAAACCUGUGUUGCUGAAGGGCGUAUGAGCUCUUAAAGUCCCAAUUUAUUCCAGUCUAUUUCUAUCUUUUAGGCUGUUGUAACGAAGCAGCCAGUAAGUCAGGCAUAAUUGCUGGCAGGCAUUCUAAUUUAGGGAACUGCACAAGAGCAUCCACAGAACUAUAUUUAUCAUUUCAUUCCUUUAAAUAAAGCAAAAGUGAAUGUGGUUUCUUC